rnacentral:lncRNA from 1 species
AAAAUAGUAUUGAAUGUUGUGUAUGUGAUAAUUCAAAGAAUAAAAUGGCUAACAUAGAAUGUGGAAAGGCAUAUUAAACGAAUUCAUUUCAGCCUAUUUAACUGGAGUCACGAGAAGGAAUUUUUAAAGACUACUCAUAUAUGCCCUUUUUUUUUAUUAACCCUAACAUAAUGUAGAUAGAAUUUAAAUUUCUAUUAUAUUCCACAUUUCACAAUUGAUUAUGAAGUCAGACUCCUAAGUAGCGGCUCUGUAGACUCAGCUCUCUCUUUUUUUCUAAGAUGGGAUUUCUCUGCUCAUCAGGUCAUUGUGUUUGCAAUUGAUCCUUGGAGACAGCGACAUCUGCGAAGCUUCCAAGCCACGGUGGUUCCACCUUCACAAGUAUCCUUCAAAGGCAUCCUGCAACCACCCCAUCCAUCCAAGUACUCCGUUGUAGGAUUCAAAAGCAAAUUGCAGGGUUUGCUGCCCUUGCUCGGUCCAAUCCUGCAUUUCUGGAACUUGUUUGAUCACAGAUAUCUUCGAUCAAGAAACAACUGUUAGCAUGCCGUUUGGGAGGGUGCGAUCCUAGAAAGUUUUCUUGUGUAGAGUAGAACCUGGUUACCGAUCAUGAUGUUUUAAAGCACCAAAAUAGUUUUGUUUUUGUCUUUGUUCUUUUUCAUCUGUGA